rnacentral:rRNA from 1 species
CGUCAGCGACAGGGAUGAGCCCAGCACCGAAUCUCUAGUGCCAAGCGUGCUAGCGAAAUGUGGUGUUUGGGAGGGUCCGUAAAUCCGGGGCUCGCCUUGCCGAGUCCAAGUCCUUCUUGAACGGGGCCACGGUCCGCAGAGGGUGCCAGACCCGUAGCGGCCGGUGGCGUCCCCGGUUGGGCCUCUCCUUAGAGUCGGGUUGCUUGAGAGUGCAGCCUAAAGCGGGUGGUAAACUCCAUCUAAGGCUAAAUACUACCACGAGACCGAUAGCGAACAAGUACCGUGAGGGAAAGUUGAAAAGAACUUUGAAGAGAGAGUUCAAUAGUACGUGAAACCGUUCAGGGGUAAACGGGGAAGACUUGAAAAUCCGAAAGGAGAGAUUCACGUCUUCCGCCGGCCUCGUCGAUCCUGUCACGGAUAGUCGAAUCGCCUCGCUUUGGGCCUCGGUCCGGGCGAUGGUAGUCGGCCGGCCUGGCAGGAGAGGCGGAGUCGCGGAGGGCCGCACUUCUCUCCCAGUAGGACGUCGCGACCCGUUCGGAGGCAAGCCUAAUGCCCGGGCGUAAGUCUCUUGACGCGACAGGCCCUCGGGCUUGUCGCGCUGGAGGAGUCCGGCGUAAGGUAGCGUUACGGACGGUAGUUUAUGACGGUGUAGAACCGCUUUUCGGAGCGCCUCCGACCCACUCCGAGUCUGUCGUCGGGAGCGGUCUCUGGCCCUUACGGGGGCCCGGGCCGCCCCGCUUCAGGCUGUCGGGAGGGGGGUGUCUGGGGCAGUGUUCACAACACCCGUCGGCGACGCCGCAGUUUCGAGCUCUUACCCGACCCGUCUUGAAACACGGACCAAGGAGUCCAACGUGUGCGCGAGUCGUUGGGUGACAAACCCAAUGGCGUAAUCAAGGUGAAGGGAAGUUCUCUUUCCGAGGGAGGACAGGGUGUAGCCUGCGGGCGCUCCCUCGCACUCCCGGGGCGUCUCUGGCUCAUUGCGAGCGGAGGCGCACCUAGAGCGUUCACGUUGGGACCCGAAAGAUGGUGAACUAUGCCUGGCCAGGACGAAGCCAGGGGAAACCCUGGUGGAGGUCCGUAGCGGUUCUGACGUGCAAAUCGAUCGUCGGAGCUGGGUAUAGGGGCGAAAGACUAAUCGAACCAUCUAGUAGCUGGUUCCCUCCGAAGUUUCCCUCAGGAUAGCUGGCGCCCAGGUGAGACGAGUCUCAUCUGGUAAAGCGAAUGAUUAGAGGCCUUGGGGUCGAAACGACCUCAACCUAUUCUCAAACUUUAAAUGGAUGAGAACCCCGGCUUGCUUGAUCUAGUGAAGCCGGGGCUCGGAUCCGGGUGCCAAGUGGGCCAAUUUUGGUAAGCAGAACUGGCGCUGUGGGAUGAACCAAACGCAGAGUUAAGGCGCCCAAAUCGACGCUCAUCAGACACCAUGAAAGGCGUUGGUUGCUUAAGACAGCAGGACGGUGGCCAUGGAAGUCGGAAUCCGCUAAGGAGUGUGUAACAACUCACCUGCCGAAGCAACUAGCCCUGAAAAUGGAUGGCGCUGUAGCGUCGUGCCUAUACUCUGCCGCCAACGGCAAACGCGGCGCGGCCCCCUCGAGGGACCGGUCGCCGUUACGCCUUGGUGAGUAGGAGGGUCGCGGCGAUGUGCGUAGAAGGGUCUAGGCGUGAGCCUGCCUGGAGCCGUCGCCGGCGCAGAUCUUGGUGGUAGUAGCAAAUACUCCAGCGAGGCCCUGGAGGACUGAUGUGGAGAAGGGUUUCUUGUGAACAGCCGUUGCACAAGAGUCAGUCGGUCCUAAGCCCUAGGAGAAAUCCGAUGCCGAUGGGCGCCGUUAACUGAAUACGAGGGAGGGCGGAUUCCACGUCGAAACCCGUUGGGGCGGAGACGGGGUCCGCGUGAUUCCCGCGUUAGGGUGAAGGCGCCCCAGGUUGGGCGAAAGGGAAUCCGGUUCCUAUUCCGGAACCUGGCAGCGGAACCGUUCAAGUCGUGCCCUCUGACGAGAGCUCGUCGGGGUAACCAAAAAAGACCCGGAGACGCCGUCGGGAGAUCCAGGGAGAGUUGUCUCUUCUCUAUAAGCGUUCGAGUUCCCUGAAAACCUCCAGCAGGGAGAUAGGGUUUGGAACGCAAAGAGCACCGCAGUUACGGCGGUGUCUGGAUCUUCCCCUCGGACCUUGAAAAUCCGGGUGAGGGCUACGAGGAACACCGCGCCAGACCGUACCCAUAUCCGCAGCAGGUCUCCAAGGUGAACAGCCUCUAGUCGUUAGUAUAAUGUGGGUAAGGGAAGUCGGCAAACUGGAUCCGUAACCUUGGAAUAAGGAUUGGCUCUGAGGAUCGUGGUGUGCCGGGCUUGGUUGGGAAGUGGAGCGGUGUCAACGUGCCGGGCCUGGGCGAGGAGAGUGGCGUUACGACGUUACGAUCCUCUGCUCGGUCCCGUGACUUGGCCACCCACGGAUCUUCCUUGCUGCGAGCUGUCUGCUGCCAAGUCGUCGGUCUCGAUCGGAGGACGGG